rnacentral:rRNA from 1 species
GCACAACGCGAAGAACCUUACCAAGGCUUGACAUGUAGAAGAACACCGCAGAGAUGCGGGACUCUUUGGACACUUCUAUACAGGUGGUGCAUGGUUGUCGUCAGCUCGUGUCGUGAGAUGUUCGGUUAAGUCCGGCAACGAGCGCAACCCUCGUCCUAUGUUGCCAGCACGUUAUGGUGGGAACUCAUGGGAUACUGCCGUGGUCAACACGGAGGAAGGUGGGAUGACGUCAAAUCAUCAUGCCCCUUAUGUCUUGAGCUUCACGCAUGCUACAAUGGCCGGUACAAAGGGCUGCGAUACCGUAAGGUGGAGCGAAUCCCAAAAAGCCGGUCUCAGUUCGGAUUGGGGUCUGCAACUCGACCCCAUGAAGUCGGAGUCGCUAGUAAUCGCAGAUCAGCAACGCUGCGGUGAAUACGUUCCCGGGUCUUGU